UUUUAAAUUUGUAACUACCGACUUAACCGCCAAUACCAUUAAAUUUGGAAAAGAUUCGGGGUUCGUGCAUUAUAAGAAACGAGAAAAUUCAGUCUUUUUUAAUUAAGAAAUGAAGGAAAUUUGUUGCAAGGAAGAGAAAUGCCGACAACGAUAAUGUUGAAUUUAUAAGAGGUACACAAUUUCCUUUAUUCCCGUAACACGUGGAAAAACUUGACUGAAAGGUUUUGGGUCACCUUUUGCCUCUUUCCACUCAAACAGAUUUUCCACUUCUUCCCUUAAGUAUCCCGAAAGGUCAUAUACUUCGGAGGAGUUCAACAUUUCGCCCGAAGAAUUACGGAUGAAAUCUGAAAGUUUGGAAGAAUGAAGGGAACAUAUACUACUGAGAAAAUGGAUUUAAAUAUCGGAAAGACUUUCUUUGUGAUAAAUUUAUCGAGAAAAAUGUCUUUGUAAAUAAACCUUGAACAAUUUUUGUGGGGACCGAAAGAAACGAAGAAAUUGUUAUAAAUGAUUGAUUUCUGCAUUUUACGAUAAAUUUGAAAUUGGAUUUAUUUUAGAUUAAAUAUAGGUUUAUUUUUAAGAUAUAGCCAAUAAGUCGAACAUGUUUUUCUGCAUUUGUGGUUCUAUUUAUUGAUUUAUGUUCGAUGUUUAAAUUCAGAUUUAACAUCGUUUGACUUUUCUAUAGGUUUUGUGCAUGAAAAUGCAAAGAAAUUUCGCUGUGAAGAUUGUGG